rnacentral:rRNA from 1 species
UACGUAGGGUGCGAGCGUUGUCCGGAAUUAUUGGGCGUAAAGAGCUCGUAGGCGGUCUGUCGCGUCGAUCGUGAAAACUUGGGGCUUAACCCUGAGCUUGCGGUCGAUACGGGCAUGACUGGAGUUCGGCAGGGGAGACUGGAAUUCCUGGUGUAGCGGUGAAAUGCGCAGAUAUCAGGAAGAACACCCGUGGCGAAGGCGGCUCUCUGGGACGGUACUGACGCUGAGACGCGAAAGCGUGGGGAGCGAUCAGG